CAGUCUGUUUUGGUAUGGAGUCAGAGG
rnacentral:piRNA from 1 species